rnacentral:tRNA from 1 species
GGCUCUGUGGCUUAGUUGGUUAAAGCGCCUGCCUUGUAAAUAGGAGAUCCUGGGUUCAAAUCCCAGCAGUGCCU